UACGGGGGGGGCAAGCGUUGUUCGGAAUUACUGGGCGUAAAGGGCGCGUAGGCGGCUUUUCAAGUCGGGCGUGAAAUCUCCAGGCUUAACCUGGAAGGGUCGUUCGAUACUGUUAAGCUAGAGUGUGGAAGAGGCUACUGGAAUUCCGUGUGUAGCGGUGAAAUUCGUAGAUAUUGGGAAGAACACCGGUGGCGAAGGCGGCUAUCUGGCCCGUAAUUGACGCUGAGGCGCGAAAGCGUGGGGAGCAAACAGG
rnacentral:rRNA from 1 species